rnacentral:rRNA from 1 species
CCUACGGGGCGCAGCAGUGGGGAAUAUUGGACAAUGGGCGAAAGCCUGAUCCAGCCAUGCCGCGUGUGUGAAGAAGGCCUUCGGGUUGUAAAGCACUUUCAGUGGGGAAGAAAGCCUUGGGGCUAAUACCCUCGAGGAAGGACAUCACCCACAGAAGAAGCACCGGCUAACUCCGUACCAGCAGCCGCGGUAAUACGGAGGGUGCGAGCGUUAAUCGGAAUUACUGGGCGUAAAGCGCGCGUAGGCGGUCUGAUAAGCCGGUUGUGAAAGCCCCGGGCUCAACCUGGGAACGGCAUCCGGAACUGUCAGGCUAGAGUGCAGGAGAGGAAGGUAGAAUUCCCGGUGUAGCGGUGAAAUGCGUAGAGAUCGGGAGGAAUACCAGUGGCGAAGGCGGCCUUCUGGACUGACACUGACGCUGAGGUGCGAAAGCGUGGGUAGCAAACAGGAUUGGAUACCCGUGUAGUC